rnacentral:lncRNA from 1 species
UCGAAAGUAAAAAGGUGAAACCAUUGGUGGUGCGGUUUGCCAACUUCUGAUGCCCGUUGGUGCCUGUAAAAACGGGGACAAAUCAUCACUCUUAAAAUCCGUGCAAAAAGAGGCACCAAUCACGAUUGAUUCUCCCCAAAAUCAUGGUGGACAUCGGUCGUGGAUUUCCAUAGAUGCAUCGGCAAUCGAGUCUUUGCAUCGGCUCCAUCCAUUCAUCAUCU